AUCCUCUCACUACAGAGAUGCGGGAGCAACGGUGGAAGGCUCCUCCGAGCACCACGGUCCCCCAGGGAUCUGGGGGCCCCACAGACUUUCCCACUCAAGACACAGCCUAGAGGCAGCUGUCUGCCUGGUUUGCUGCUGACUGCUGCACCUAGCAUGGCACCUCGUGCGCAGAGAACAUUUUGCUGCAUAAAUGCAGGGAGGAGGAACACAAGAACAUUCUCGGUACAUACUCAUCGUACAUGAGCUGCUAAGGCACGCAGGGGGCCUGUGGGACGGGCUCCCGAUUCCCCUCUUUCCAGACAGAAAACCAAGGCACCAAACAGCUCGCUUGAGACUUGGGAGAAUGAAGGCUUGGUGCCCGGAAGCGCCAUCUCUCUCUUUCCGGCAGCUGCAGGGUGUUACCGGGGCAACAGACGGCUGUCUGACGGGAUUUGGCAGUUUAACUCUUACUCCGCACAAAAUACGAAAGUGAGAACGAUUGAACAGAUGUUCUUGCUUCCGACCGUUCACACAACGGAGAGGAGCUCAUGAUUCAUCUGGCCCGGGCCGAGUCCACAUCAUUCCUGUCUCACACCCAGCAGGU
rnacentral:lncRNA from 1 species